GACGAACGCUGGCGGCGUGCCUAAUACAUGCAAGUCGAGCGGACGGAUGGGAGCUUGCUCCCAGACCGUCAGCGGCGGACGGGUGAGUAACACGUGGGCAACCUGCCUGUAAGACUGGGAUAACUCCGGGAAACCGGGGCUAAUACCGGAUAACUCUUUCCCUCACCUGAGGGAAAGCUGAAAGAUGGCAUCUCGCUAUCACUUACAGAUGGGCCCGCGGCGCAUUAGCUAGUUGGUGAGGUAACGGCUCACCAAGGCGACGAUGCGUAGCCGACCUGAGAGGGUGAUCGGCCACACUGGAACUGAGACACGGCCCAGACUCCUACGGGAGGCAGCAGUAGGGAAUCUUCCGCAAUGGACGAAAGUCUGACGGAGCAACGCCGCGUGAGUGAUGAAGGUUUUCGGAUCGUAAAACUCUGUUGUCAGGGAAGAACAAGUACCGGAGUAACUGCCGGUACCUUGACGGUACCUGACCAGAAAGCCACGGCUAACUACGUG
rnacentral:rRNA from 1 species